rnacentral:rRNA from 1 species
UACGGGGGGGAGCAAGCGUUGUUCGGAUUUACUGGGCGUAAAGGGCGCGUAGGCGGCGUGACAAGUCACUUGUGAAAUCUCCGGGCUUAACUCGGAACGGUCAAGUGAUACUGUCGUGCUAGAGUACAGAAGGGGCAACUGGAAUUCUCGGUGUAGCGGUGAAAUGCGUAGAUAUCGAGAGGAACACCUGCGGCGAAGGCGGGUUGCUGGGCUGAUACUGACGCUGGAGGCGCGAAAGCUAGGGGAGCGAACGGG